GGUUUUUUUACAGACACUUAUUGACUUUACUACAGUGGCCUGUAUUUUUUUAAAUGGUUAAGAGAGUUAUAGAACGUUAGUAAGUUGCAAUUUAGUUUUGGUUUUGUUUGGUUGGUUUUUUUACAGACACUUAUUGACUUUACUACAGUGGCCUGUGAAAAGAGAAAGAACUUGUUUGAGGACAGGACAAACACACUUGUGUUUCAGUUUUCUGUGACUGUCAAAGUGUUUCAUGCAUAAGGGAGCUCCUGGAUUCCACUUGCCACCUACAGCUUCUUGGAAGGAUUUUCCACGACUUGACAUAGAUUGUUGAAUGACUUGUAGUGAGAGCUACAUGCAGCUUCAUGUUGUCAGAGGCCGGUUUACUUACCAGCGCUAGUCUAACAGACAGUUAAGAAAGUGCUGAAAGUUGAAAUCAAACAGGUCACAGUGAAAGUGGUCACACUGGGAGCAUUCCAUACCUUUGCUAAAGCUAAGAUUCCUUGGCAGGGAUUGACACUAAGCCUCACAGUUAUCUAUUGAGUUCAUAGUGACGACUGGAACACCACUAUGAUUUGUCAUCAGACUCGUUGGAACUACAGCUCUGAAUGACUUCUACUUUUAAGUUUCCUGAACAUUUUCAUUUGUUUGGUUUUCCAAGACAGGCUCUCACUAUGUAGCUCUGGCUGUCCUGAAUGAAACUUAUUAUUUAAACCAGGCUCAAAUUCACAGAGAUCCACCUGCAUCUGUCUCCCAAGCACUGGGGUUAAAGGCACACACCACUGUCACCCUGGGUUUGUUACCUGGAUCAUUAAACCCUGCUUCCACAUUCUGCAUCUUGCAGCUCAAGGAUUUUUGCAUAGACUAAUAGCUUUCUGGCACUCUAACCUGAUCCCUUCCCCAGAAGUUAUGCAUCUCCCCACUGUGAGCAUCUCAGAUCUCAGCACACAUCAGUUUCCUCUCUUUCCUUCUGCUUUUCCUUUGCCACAGUCCUCCUCUUCAAGGACCAGUUCAAGGGGGCUCCUACUCCACCUUCUCUAGAGCUCCCACUUCUCAUCCUCUGCAUUCCCAGGGACUUUGCCUUCCCCUGAGCACGUCACAGUUUGGCAUUUCCAGUGUUGUCAGCCUGACUCUCCCACCACAUGCUAACCCUUUGGGAGCAGUGACCAUUUCUCCCUCCAUCUUAGUAAUUUAGUAAUUUUGUACAUAGCCUCUUGGGAACAUGUAUAAACUGCAUGUCGUGUUGCAUCGAGGAAUACUGGAAAACUUCAGAAAGAGCUUGAUGUAACUCCUCAUGACAGGUGUGUACUGAUUAAAGAGUCCAAACUAUUAUUGAUAUUGUUGAGGGGGAGGGCAGAGAGAGAGAGAGAGAGAGAGAGAGGGAGAGAUAGAGGGAGGGAGGGAAGAAAAGGGAGAGAGAGGGAGAGAGAGGGAGAGAGAGAGAGAGAGAGAUAGAGGGUGAGAUAGGGAGAGAGAAAGAGAGGGAGGGAUGGAGGGAGAGAGAAAGGAGAGAGAGGGAGAGAGAGAUGGAGGGUGAGAGAGGGAGAGAGAAAGAGAGGGAAGGAGGGAGAGAGAGAGGGAGCGAUGCAAGGAGGGAGAGAGAGAGAGAGAGAGAGAGAGAGAGAGAGAGAGAGAGAGCACUGGUGUGGUGAGCAGCCCUUUUAUAUGCCACCUGGCAGCAGCAGGUAAUGGCAGCAGUUGAUGAUAUAAGCCAUUACAAGUAAAGGCCUUGAGUAGGAGUGUAGCAGAAUCACCUAUAAGCAAACAUUUUUUUUGAGAAUUUCAUACAUUGUAUUCAUUCAUCUCUUCUUACUGUCUCCUGAGACCCAUGCCCCCUUUCCAUACCUUCUCAGCUUUCUGUAAUAUGAAAUAUGAGUGUGUGUGUGUUUCUCAGCUUUCUGUAAUAUAUGAGUGUGUCUCUCUCUCUCUCUCUCUCUGUGUGUGUGUGUGUGUGUGUGUGUGUGUGUGUGUGUGUGUGUGUUUAGAAACGUAUCCAGUCCAAAUUCGUGCUGACCCUAUAUCUGUAUGUCCUGAAGUAUCUUCCACUUACCAUGGAUCACACCCUUAAGGAAAAAUGAUGUCUCUCCCGAUGGCUAUCAAUUACUAAUUAACAGUUCUUCAGCUCAGGUUGGACUUUGUGCCACCCCCCCUUCCUUGUGCUGGGAUAUUAUAUUACUUGGUCUUGCACGGGUUUUGUAAAUGCUCUUAACAGUGUUCGUGAGUUUGUGCAAUUGCCCUGUUGUUCCUGGAAAGCACCACUUCAUUAUAGCCAUUCGCCUUCUUUACAGUAUAUGAAGAUGAACACAGAAACCCACAUGUGGUCACAGUGUCAUGAAUAAGAGACUAUGGACUAGCUGGUUGAUUUAAAACAUAUACUCAGCAACUUGUCUCUGAACUUUGAACUUUCUAUUUUCUCAUGAAGACUGUUAGGUGAUAGACUCUUGUUAUUUCUGUAUUAGUUGACUAAUAUACUAAAAAGAAAAGGGUUUGUUUGUUGUUAGUGCUGGUUUAUUCUUGUCAUUUAUUUAUUCAUUAUUUAUUAUUUUAGAAUACUCAUUUCUAAUAUGGCGAAAAGAGCUUUUGAUAGAGGGGAAUCUAGGAAUUUUACAUUUCAAAAAAAUAAUGGUAUCAGUAGAUGUGUGUUGGGAUUUUAAAGAACUAUUUGUGAAAUUAAUCACUAUACUUCUUAGGCUUCUUCACCUAAGAAAAAUUUACAAGACCCCACGGAUGUAGGCAUUGAAGAAUAAGAAUACGGAUCAAGUAUUGGCUGUUAAGUCAUAAAGAAAAAAGUUAAAACAAUUAUUUGAUAUAAGGAUUAAUUUGUGUUUAUUAAAAGACAAAUAUCAAAAUUUCUACUUAGAAUUUUUCCAUAUUUUUGAGGGCAUGUAGUUACAUCAUUUCUCCCUCCCUUUUCCUUCCUCCUAAACCGCCCAUAUACAUUCUCUUGCUCUUUUUCAAAAAUCAUGCCCUCUUUUUUCAUUAAUUGUUAUUUUAUGCAUAUGUAAAUGCCUUUAUAUUCCAAAAUAUAACCUGCUCAGUAGUAUACUGUUGCUCAUGUGUGUGUUUGCAGGGCUGCUUGGCACCGGGCAUCCAAGUGCUGUGGUCUUCCAUGGAGAAGACUAUGUCUGCUUCUCUCAGUUUCCCUUAGUUGUCUGCAGGAUUUUGUGCACAGCGGAGUUAGAGUGGGUUCUCUCCUGUCUCCUUUGGCUCUAUCUAUGCCUAUCAUGUUGCUCAGCUCACAUUUGAAUGAAUGAUCAUUGCAGUGAGAAUUUAUGUGUGACUUCCAGCACUACUAGAAGACACAGUCUCACAGCAAAUGCCCUGAUCCUCUGGCUCUUGCAGUCUUUUUGCCUUGUCAGGGGCUGGUCUUGACAACCCUGCAUUUUGAUUCAAGAUUUCUAUAAUGGUCUUGAUCUAUUGCAAAGAAAACUUUUGUUGAUUGCGGGUGAGGGCUAUAAUUACCUCUGGUCUUAGGGACAGAUAGCAGUUAGGGAUUAUGUUGGUUCAGUUAGGAUCUGUUCAAUAAGAGAGAAGCCUAAACCAGGACUAGAAAACCACUCAGCUACUCGGUGUUGCUGAAGUUAUAAAUCUUGGAGUAGAAUCUACGAGGAAUAUUUAUUUUUAUGUAAAUGAUUAAAUUUUGGCUGAAUUUCUAUAGUUCAAAACAGAGCAUGUUCCCCAUUUUUUGGAGUUGUUAUUUUUAUUUUAUAAUCGUUAAUGUUGAGAACACCACUUCUCAUAAACUGGGACAAAGUAACAACAGAUGCAUGUUCAGGCCAUUGUAGAAACUGUUGGAAAUUCUAUCUUAAUCAAGCACCAAAAUCCAUUUUUUAAAGGUUUUAGAAAAUUCAAGUGAGAAAUUCAAACACCAGUCCUCUAAAUCAAGCAUUUGAUCAUAGUAAAAUAGGAAGAUAUACUAACAUGAUGAGUACAUACUGAGUAAUGACAAUAGCAAGUAUCAAAAAAGAAAUCUUAGUUUUCUGUAAUAAAAACGUCAUGUGUCUAUAAGAACAAAAAUCCUUGCCUGUGUAGGAAGGCACACAAUUGAUACUAUACUGUACUGUCAAGUCUAAUCCAAGGUGUUUCAAGCAGUUUACAUCAAUGUUGUCUGGGAUGACAGCAAAGAGUGUAAGUUCUGUGUUGAGAAACCAAUGGCAGAGUGAGGUUGUCCAAGGUAACCUUUACAAUGCACGUGCUGUAAUGAACACCUUAGGUUCUCAUAGAAUUUUGAAACAAUUUUUUAUCCUUGAGCUUGAAACAUGAUUUAAGACUCACCGAGCUAUAGUCUAGGAUGAGAAGCAGUGAGUUCAUGUGCCCUCCAUCAUAUCACACAGCAGAUGUGUCCAGUGAUAGACAGGGAUGCAUAGCUCCUGCUUGGGGUGGGGUGAAGAUUUACAGGGCCCUGAAACACUUAAAGGUUACCUCAUCAAAUUGAGGACUUCAUUAUUUAUUAAAUAAUGUCUCUAACUAUGCCAACCUCUAUCAUUAUGGUACCUGCACACACAAGCCUGAGAAUUAAUGAUGUUUAAUAGCUGAAAGAACCUAGAACUCGCUUGCAAAAAUUCACCAUAGAACAGGGAUUUCUCCUCACUCAGUGAUUGUCAUUUGUUCCAUAUCAAUUAAGUUUUUGCUUAAUUCUUUCAGUUAGAAAUGCAGUUCAAAAUAGCUAUCUCCUGAGGGGCUCUGCCAGAGCCUCACAAAUACAGAGGUGGAUUCUCGAAGUCAAGCAUUGGACUGAGCUCUGGGUCCCCAAUAGAGGAGUUAGAGAAAGGACUGAAGGAGUUGAAGGGAAUUGCAACCCCAUAGGAAGAGCAACAAUAUCAACCAACCAGAACCCCCAGAGUUUGCAGGGACUAAACCACCAACCAAAGAGUACACAUGGAGGGACCCAUGGCUCUAGCCGUAUAUGUAGCAAAGGAUGACCUUAUUGGGCAUCAAUGGGAGGAGAAACCCUUGGUCAUAUGAAGGUUCAAUUCCCCAUUGUAGGGGAUUGCCAGGGUGGGGAGGCAGGAGUGGGAAAACACUCUCAUAGAAGCAGGGGGAAGGGGGAUAACAUUUGAAAUGUAAAUAAAGAAAAUAUCCAAUAAAAUGUAAAGAAAAAAGUUACUAACUUGAUCAGAAUAAAUGAAAAUGGACACACUAUUCAGUAAGAUAGUUAAACAAUGAAAGUAACUUGGAUACAUAUUUUAUCCAAAGGAGAAAGUGACAUAUAUUUGUGAUUUCUUUGUAUAUUUUUUAGUACAAUAGAAACAAGCUUGAGAAUUCUGUGAGGAACACACUUUUAUUUUUCCAAGUUGCAUAAAUGCUUGGUUUUUUGUUGUUGUGUUUUGGGAUAUUGGAUCUAUAACUGAGGACCCCAUGACUGCUAACCAGAAACCAUAUCACUGAGCUAUAUGUCUGCAGGCCCACAUGAUGCGUGCAUUCCUGUGAGGAAAAUUGGUCAUGAAAUUGAUCUUCUGAUCAUAAUUUUAACAUGGAUAUAUUUUCUCUUCUGGGAUUUAAUUGGCUUUUACAUUUAUCCAGUCUUUGUGGCAGGCUCUUUCUUCAAAGGACUGACUGGUGUGUGUGUGUGUGUGUGUGUGUGUGUGUGUGUGUGUUUGUUUUGUGUGUGUGUGUUUUAGGAAGCAAGUGCUAGCUGUGUGCAGUUAUGCACUUCUAAGAUAAAACACCAAUGGCUCUUGUUUUUGAGUUUCUCUUUGUGCCAGAGUUGCUUCCUUCCAAGAGCCCAUGUGGAACACUUGUAAUCCACUAUUUGUUUCUUCCUGGACUCUGGCUCCUGCAGGGAUUUACCUGCCUAGUUUGAUGGAGAUAGUCCAUCCCUAUUUUAUUUCAUAUAGAAUUUCUCAUUUGUUUUACCUAAACAGAGACUGAUAGUUAAACACAAUUAGCCUUGAGAUAUUAGUAGGACAGUUUCUGGUAUUGUGUCUGGUUUCUUUGCAGGAUUUAUUGGCGAUGCUUCUGCACUUAACUUGGUAUUUUAAUAUAACUCUUCAAAUAGCAGUAUGUCACAGGAAGUAAAAAGUUUUGAGAAAAGCUAAGCAAGUCGCUUGAAAGAAAUGGAUGUUUAACUGCUUAAUCCAAUUAGAGACUCUUAAGGUCUAUAUUGACAAAGAUGACAAUAGCCUUUAUAAGCAUUAAUUUCAUGACCCAAACACUCUGUAGAAGCGAAUGUAGAAUUUGUAGAUCCUUCAGCAAAUCCUCCCCGUUGGCUGAAUUUAUUUAAAGAGCUUUUCUGGUCACCUUUGAACCUCAAUGAUUUCUCCAGAUGUACAGACGUGAACAAUGUAAAAAUCUUGCUGCUUCAGCAGAAAUGAUUCCAGCUGGCUGGGAACUGGAUCUGCAAGUCAUUGGUUACAGCUGUGUUUCGAUUUAUGUGAUGGUUGAAAAAAUACAUUACCCGAUUAGAUGGCUAGAAAGAGGACUCUUUGUUUAGCCCUUGUGUGGGGACUGAAACUGUUUAUGGUGCUGUUUUCUCCGCAGCCUUUGCAAAGUAAAGCUGGACAAAUAGACUUAUUCAAUGCUCCUUAGAAAUGCUGCAUAUUCAGCUUGAAUUCUUUACUGGAGAAACUGUAUCUUUUUUUUCUAAUGCUGUCACCCACCGAAUGUUUUAAAGGUCUAGCAUUUAAAAGGAGCAUUACAUUUUCUGUGGUACUGCAUACAGCGUUUAGUGAUGAAAAGCAGUUUCCUUUGUUUAAUAUGUACUUUAAAUGUGUCUUUGUCAGGCAUGGGGGGGAAUAGGAAUAUGCUUUCUCUUUAACUCAAGUUCUACAGUAGCAUGGGAUCUGAAUCUAAUUUCUAAUUAAGAUAUUCACUUCUUAUGAGCUCAUUGCACAUCGACAAGAAAGAAAGAAAGAAAGAAAGAAAGAAAGAAAGAAAGAAAGAAAGAGAAAGAGGGAAAGAAAGAAAGAAAGAGGGAAAGAAAGAAAGAAAGAAAGAAAGAAAGAAAGAAAGAAAGAAAGAAAGGAAGAAAGAAAGAAAGGAAGGAAGGAAGAAAGAAAGGAAGAAAGACAGGAAGGAAGAAAAAAGAAGAAAGAAGGAAGGAAAGAAGUGAUUUCUAAGAAAGUAUAAUCAAGUAUUUCUAUGAGAGUUUUGAAUUUGUGAAUACUCUUUGUCAUCUCAGGAAAGUUUACAGUGUUUAUAGGGGUGUGGUUGGCAAAUUAUGUUAUUUUCUCAAUUCUUUCUCUGUAUUUCUCUUCACACAGGGUCUUGCUAAGUUGUUUAGGUUGGCCCAGAAUUCCCUUUGUAGCUCAGGUUGGCCUUUUAAAUGUCUGCUCAGUCUACAAAAUAGUUGGGCUAAUAGGCCUGGGCCACAUCACAGUUGGCUUAAAAUUUAGGUUUGCCAAAAAGCAAAAUGCAGAUAAUUCAUGCAAACAUACCUUGCUGAAGCAGCUAAUAUAUUAUGAGUAGAUGUUUGCUUGUAGAUUUUUUUCCAAUGUAGUUGAGUCAAUCCAUUUAAUUUAAAAACAACUUGUCAGAACCAACGACUUGUUUAUAACUUAAUCAGAUAUAUGGAGAAAAAAAAACCACAGUGGCAUUUUUAAUUUUAACUUCCCAGGUGGCACCAACUUUUAGGAUUAAUCCAACAUUCUUAAAAAAACAAUUUUUAUUAUACUCAUUGAAUGCCUCUGUGUGUGUGGUAGGGUAUCUAGAAAGGUCACAGUAUACAUGUGGUAGUCAGAUGACAACGGUCACAUGUGGUAGUCACCUGACAAGUUAGGGAACUAGCUCUUCUCCUUCAGCCCGAUGGGUCGCAAGAAUAAUGCUCAAGUCAUUCUGGUUGGUAACAAGCGUUUUUAUCCUUUGAUCCAUCUUUUCAGUUCAACCAAUUUGUGUGUUUGUGUGUGUGUGUGUACAUGUAUGUGUGUGUUUGUGUGUGUAUGUGUGUACAUGUGUGUGUGUAUGUGUGUGUGUGUGUGUGUGUGUGUGUGUGUGUAGUUCUUUAUAAAAUCUUGAGGAAGGGCUAAGAUUUUCAAUGAACUUGAAAAUGGGUCCAAGUCCCUGAUCAAAAGUCACAUAGCGUUCAUAGCAGCUGUGUGUGGUGAAGAAACAGAAAUGCAUCAUAUUUUCCUGGAAAAUAUAUAUAGUAAAUAACACUUUAUCUAUUUUUUCUUUUAUGGUCAUACCCCCACUGUGUAUAUGUAACAGAAAGAGAGAGACAGAGACAGCAACAGACAGACAGAGUCAGAGACAGGGAGACAAAGAAAGAAAAUUAAAAACUUAUUCUAAGUAUCCAUAAUGUAGCCAAGAGGAGGAAACAAAGGUAGGAUUGAUUUAUCUUGAAACAGCAGACACUUCGCUGUGUCAGGUUCUUUUCUUGAUCAAUGAAGGUAUGCCCCGCUAACCCUCAACAAAAUCAAUACAGCUGAUUGGAUGCGAUGGGAUGAAUGCCUAAGAGCACAGCCACACUUGACCCUCCCCUGUUCACACAUAUUUAAAUGAUGCUCACAAUGCCAUGAAUCAUUUUUUUUUGUUUUGUUUUGUUUUGUUUUGUUUUGUUUUGUUUUUUUCACUGUUCUUGAAUACAAGCUUCUUCAAUCCAGAGGGGAAAAAGUAAUAGAAUUUGAAAGUAGUCUUGAACUUGCUUCCAAUUAGGUAUACAUCUAGAAGUGUUUCGAUGAGAAAAUAUCUAUCGUUAAGCAUAGAGAAAGGAAAACAUAAUUCUGUAUUAAGAAGAGCAUGUAGGAUUCAUUUAAGGUAAGCUUAUUGGGGCGUUUUCCAGUUAUGCUCUUCUGCAUAUGUACUGUGAUACCACACACAGUUACUUCCGUAUUAGAAAACAAUACCUCUCCAGUUAUAAAUCUAAAAGGUUAUAUCUCAGAUACUGUUUCAAACCAUGUGAAUAGGCUGUGAAUAGGCAGCCCACGCAAAAAAAAAAAAAAAAAAAAAAAAAAGGUUUGGUACAGAGUUUUGAUGUGGCCAUCUUCUGCAGCUGACGUCAUAAUCCAGCUUUGGGGUUAGGUCCUCAGAUCAGCUAUGGAGGAUAUCAGAAGAAAGUCUCUCUAGCAUUCUUGUCACAAGAGCAACCAGAAAGCCAUUAUGACACUGAAAAUGGUGCAGCCACAGAAGCUCACAAAACAAUACUAGGUUAUAUUGACCAGCACAGGUCUCAUCUCAGUUUCAUUUCCACCCAAGCAGCACAGUUAUUUCCAGCAGAGUUAGGUCUUGGCGGUAAUCUGGCUCUCCCUCUUAAUUUUCAAGAUUAGAAAGUUGAAGUUCUUAAGUUCCAUGACUUUUCUAAGACAGUGAACAUUAUGAGCUCCUGAGCUGGCACUGCAUCUUGGUCCCCCAGGAUUUAGAGAAGCUUUUUAAUUACCAUGUCACCCCCACUCCCCUGUUUCGUCAAGGCAUAGGUACUGCCAGACAGAAAGCGGCUCUUUCCUAUAGUAGAAUUAGUUAAAAGAUAGGUUAUUAGAAUUGUCCUUGAUUGCUGUCUACAGAUGCAACUCUCAAUAUAACAGUGCCAUUCUGAAGCUAUCUGCUAUCAUUUUUCUUUCUGUUUAUAUCUUUUCUUUAAAAGCUUGGAUCCAUGUGGGCUAUUGCUGUGUGUAGUACUGAUAGCUACUCAAAUGCACUCUCUCAUGUUUGAGCAUGACUUGAUGUGUAGCCUGGUGUUUUGUCCUCCCAGUGGCCUUACCGUACAAUAAGUUGCCCUUUUAACUGAAGGAGGGAUUCCCAGCUUCAGACUCAAGAGCUGUUUGCUCCAGGGACUACACUAAGGCAAAAAACACUUUGGCCUUAAAAACCUCCUUCAAGUUCACAUUCCUGCCCUGCCUUCCCCUGGCUCAGUGUGUCUAGUCUCAUUGGUGCAACUCUGAAUGCAGUCCUCCUAGGUCUACUGAUGAAGACUGGAACCAAAAAUAGGUUCUGUAUUUCCAAAAGAGCUGAAAAGAGAAGGGGAAAGUGGAUGUGGAAACAUGGAAAAGCUUACUACAGUGAUUUACAAUCAGGCCAUUUUUAAAUUAAUUAAUAAAAGAGGGAUAUGAUACCUUGCAGUUAUAUAGCAGGAGAGAGAGAGAAAGACUUAUCAGAUUGACAGAUCAACAUUUGACAUCCCACUUAUUGGAUGUCUGAUUUAAACAAAGCCAUUCCCCCCCCAAAAAAAACCAAACAGCAAAAUUAUUAAAGAAAAGUGAGUCAUAUAUUUUCUUUUGGUUAAGAUCAAACAUUCUUCUUCAUUAUUAUGAUUUUAAUAUACACUUUUAGUUUAGUAUAUUUUGUCUUUCUUUAAAAUCUGAUUUGGGAUCUAUUCCUUACUCGGAUGUAUCUUACUUAGACAAACAAGAACACUAGGUGUUUUAGUUCAUAGAAAGUUCCUAACCAGACCAACACCAAUUCACUGAUAUCUGAGUCUCAUCUCUAUCGUUUGCUUAUUCGUUAUGUGCACUAAAAAAAAAAAUAAGAGAUCUAUUUCUUUUAUUUCAGUUUCUGCUAUUCCUUUCUAAUGUGGAAAAAUGGAGAGAGAGAGGAAAAAAAAAACCUCUCUGUAUUUUUGCUUCUCUCACGACUACUCCAUGCCUUCUGGAAAGCAGAACUCUGAUAUGUCUUGGUUGGCACUAGAGAGAACAUGGCUCUCCAUUCUGGAAAGGUUAGACAAAUAAGCAUGGCCGAGCUACUCGGAGCCCACAGAAUGAAGAGACUGUUGAGUCUUUUGAUUUUGUUAAAUCAUUGUUAUAUUUGGGGGUGGGGAGAAGCUUAGUUUUUCGAAAAGC
rnacentral:lncRNA from 1 species